rnacentral:lncRNA from 1 species
UUUCGACCGGAAAUUAAACCGUAACCAUAUUUAUUCGGUUUCUAAAAUCAAAAAUCAAAACCAAACCAAACACCGUUGGUUUGGUUUCGGUUUUUAAUUUCGGUUUCGGUUUAUAAUGUUGCGGUUUCGGUUUUAAAAUCAAAUUAAAUUAUAUACUCAUAAACUUUUAACCAUAAAAUUGCCUGAGAUAAAGUUUUUAAUUACACCAGUAACAUUUUAGAGCAAGUAAUAAGUGAACCCUUGCUUUCCAUACAGAAACUGCAGUAGGAAACUGCAAUGACAACAUCAG